UCUUCUAGCCAAUCGUCCCUGUGUUUACACAAAAUACUAGAGAAGGACAUAUAGCAUAUGGAAAUAUAAGACCAAUGAGAUGGUUAUAUGAGCGAACACGAUGGUUCAUCUUUCCAUUAUAUGGAAUGUUUCCUGUUAAACUUAUAACCCAUAUUGGAAAACCAAUUCCAUAUGAUCCAGAUAUAACUGCUGAACAAUUAGCUGAAAAAACUCAAAAGGCAAUAGAAGCUUUACGGGACAAACACCAGAAAAUCCCAGGAAGUAUAUUGCAUGCCAUUAGGCAACGCUUUGAGACAGCUAACAAAGAAAAACAGUGAUAUAACAACAAUAAUCUGUGUAGACAAUAUAUAUAUAUAUAUAUGUUUAGAUAAUAUAUGUGUAUGUGUGGUUUUCUGUUCCCCGAGGCACUUUUGUUAAAAAAAAAUAAUGAAGACACAAGAUUGAGAUGGGGAAAAAUACAUGUUAAUUU